UAAGCUAUCAAUGGUGCACUCUCGUUUGGAGAAAAAGAUUUUCUUUUGGUUCAGUGUUAGAGAUAGGAUUCUUGGAUUCCAUUUUUUAAGGCUAAAAAAAAUACUUUCUGUUUGUGUUUGGCCUGAUAUCUAUGUAGGAUAUUGUUUAAUAUUUGUUAGUGAUAGUUCAUCUGAUUUUUUUCUGGGUUCUUAGCAAAGAGUUUGCUUCAUUUCUAGAUGAAGAAGCAAAAAACUUGGGAAAAACUGGGAAAGUUUAUUUGAUAUGGACCAAUAAAACCAGACAUAUUUAAUAUGGUAAAAACAGUGGUAAUCAGACAAAAAAUGGAACUGUCAUUGGAGCAAAUCAAUUCCCGGAGUUUAUUUUCCCGGAGAUUUCUUAUGGUUGUUGAAAUUAGAACUUGAAUAUAUUUUCAUAGAGGAAUUAGAAUGUGGCAUUUAUAGCGUUCUGAAUGGCCAAGUGAGAUUACAGAUGAUCAAAUGCUUAGAUUUUGGUGCUAGGUAUAGGCUAAUUAAAAUCUCUCUAUUUUUAAAUGUGGUUUGAUUGAUAGUCACCUCAGUAGUAUAUAAACCAUGGUUUGCAGGAGGAGCCAUGGCCUGAAUUGAAAACAUUAUGAAUGCACUUAUUUCUGGAGCUGAUAAAGUGAAUGAUCUACAGGAAGAUUCUAUAACAAAUGUUGAACUCAUGAGGAUUGGUGGUGCUGUUCUAGUCAAGUGCAAAACCCGUUAAUUUUGCAUCCUUUGCAUUGGCUUUUAUAUCACAUCAUGCUUGUGUACCGCAGAUGUGGCUGUUUGACCGGUUUUCAUUGCAUUUUUGUUUGUUGAACUGAGUUUUGAGAACUACUUGCCAACAACAUGCAUGCUUGGUUGAAGAAUUGAUGCCACAAAAUUAUAUGCUCUUUCAAUGCUUGCAGGACAUCAUCAGAGGAAAUAAAGUCCCUUAGAUUGAUAACAGCCAUCAAAACCCCAUAUUUACCUGAUGGUAGAUUUGACCUUGAAGCAUAUGACGCUUUGGUGAAUAUGCAAAUUGUUGACGGUGCUGAAGGCGUGAUUGUUGGUGGCACAACUGGUGAAGGUCAGUUGAUGAGCUGGGAUGAACACAUAAUGCUUAUUGGUCACACAGUUAACUGUUUUGGUAGUUCAAUCAAGGUGAUUGGAAAUACUGGAAGCAACUCUACAAGGGAAGCAAUUCAUGCUACAGAGCAAGGGUUUGCAGUUGGAAUGCAUGCUGCUCUUCACAUCAACCCUUACUAUGGAAAAACCUCUGUGGAGGGCUUGGUUUCCCACUUUGAUAGUGUGCUACCUAUGGGCCCUACAAUUAUUUACAAUGUGCCAUCACGAACUGGCCAAGAUAUUCCUCCAGGUGUGAUACACAGUGCAGCACAAAGUCCAAACUUGGCAGGUGUUAAAGAAUGCAUGGGUAAUGAUCGGGUGGAACAGUACACAGAGAAAGGAAUUGUGGUAUGGAGUGGGAAUGAUGAUGAAUGCCAUGAUGCUAGAUGGAGCCAUGGGGCUACCGGAGUGAUUUCUGUUGCUAGCAACUUAGUCCCAGGCUUAAUGCGCAAGCUCAUGAUCGAGGGGAAGGACCCUGCACUAAAUUCAAAACUUUUGCCUCUCAUACGAUGGCUUUUCCAAGAGCCAAACCCUAUUGGUUUGAACACAGCUCUGGCACAACUUGGAGUCGUGAGACCAGUUUUCAGGCUGCCAUAUGUACCUCUUCCUCUGCCAAAGAGGAUAGAAUUUGUGAAUUUGGUCAAGGCAAUUGGGCGUGAGAAUUUUGUAGGAGAACAAGAUGUCCAGGUUCUCGAGGACGACGACUUCAUGUUGGUAGGUCGGUAUUAGUCAGUUUUUGCUAUUCAGGACUUUUUGCUUGGAUUUUUAAUAUGACUAGUAAGUUUUGCAGUUUCAGUUACAAUAAUGCUUCUUGUUACAUUGUUGAAUCUGAAGCUGAAAAUAUAGUCUUUUAACUUCUUGUUACUGGUGUUUAAUGUUCAAAAAGAUCUCUGUUUGGAUUAUCUGGUGUCAUUGGUUGCAAAUCAUCUUGGCUCUUGGAUGAGAAAUGUUGGUAUCAUCUUACUUGCUUCUAAAAGCUCAAAUGUGAUUUUGCUGAUUAUGUUAAAUAAUUGUAUGUAGUGUCUUAAUACUUACUGUUUUAUACUGCUUGAGUGGUGUAUUGAAAUGUAAAUGCUUGAACUUUGAACCAAAUUGUUUGUUCUUGAGAAAUUCUUGGUCAAGUGGAAUGUAAAUCAAAGUGUUCCUCUUUCUUUUCUGGUCUAGUAUAAAUGAAUUUUAUAAAAUUUCAUAAUUUUAUGAAGUUCAUUCAUAAAUGAAUUAUAUUUCUAUUUAUAAAAUAAUGAAUUAUUUUCUUCAAAUUGGUGUAUUCUAGAGGAACCUGAAUAGUUUCCCAAUCAUCUUGGAUUUCUUUUUUUUUUGUUUUUUUUUGGUAAAUUGGAUUUAAUUUCUUUUGACAAUGCGCCAAAGUUACUUUGACAAGUGGUAAAUUACUAUACUUUCAUUAAUUAAAUCUUGAUAUAAACAAAAUUAAUAUAUCAGCUUUUAAUCUUACAAUAAAAUUCUAUUUAAUCAAAUAUUUGAUUAAUUUUAGAAACAAUUUAAUAUAAAUUCAUGGAUACUAACACAAGGAUAUAUUAGAAAAAAAUGAAGCAAAUCAAGACAUUAGCGGUAACACAGUUGGAAGAUUGGCUAUAUCUUAAAUUACUCCACAUGAAAAUAGUUUGGACUUUCUUUUCAUUUUCAAGUCAUCAUAAUAAUAUUCCAUAGUCAAGCAUAGACUUUUGAAUUUUGGCAUUCACAGUCAUAUUACAAUGACAAUGAUGUGUGAAAGCUUUUUACAUGCUUACGAAAAGGUGACAUUUCCAUAUUUAUUGUAUUCUUAUAUGUUCAGAAGAACACAAGUGUCAAAUUGAUGCUAUAAGUCAAAAUAAAUAAUAACUUACUCUUCUCAGUGAGCUAAUAAAUAAUUUUCUGAAAGAUAAAAUAUAACUGAAUUCCUGAUUAACCUUAAGUCCCUCUAUAUCUUAAAAAGUUCUUAACUUAUAUUUUAAUCUCACUAUUAGAUCAUUCUGUCUAAUAAGUGAGCUUUUUACCAUUAAUUAGACACACUUUUUGGAUGGAAUAUGCUCAUUUUUUAGAUGGAAAAAGGUCACUUUUUGGAUGAAAAGACUCGAUAAAGAGAUAGAGCAUAAGUUAAGGAUAUCGUAACUAUUUCUCAAAUGUAGAAAGAUUUAAAUGUUAAUUUGAAUAUAAUAUAGGAACCCAGUUAUAUUUUACCCUUUUUCUGAAUUAUGUGUCUUUGCUGCAAAAGAGAUGGCCUUUGGUUUGGCAUUUUUUGCCCCUCAAGAACACCUCAAGCCAUGUCUUCAGAAGCGGCAUACCCAGAAUUAGAAAGCUUCAAAUAUGCUUUAGAAAGACAACAGAUUAUAUUCAAAUCAACCAGAACAAAGAAAAUCACUAUAAAACAUUUCCUCACUCUAUCUACAGUUACAUUAGAACAAUUGGCAGCUACAACAAAAUUUGCUAUGAACUAAAAGAGAUCACUAAAAAAAUGAUGAUUACUUGAUCAAAGGUUUACAGAAACCAAAAAUGAACUGCAUAAAUGUUUUCAUCUAAACAUUUAACUUGUUGGAUCAAACAUAUCUUUUACCUUGUUUUUUGUCCACUGGAUUAGCAUCCUGCUUGUGUUUAAGGGCCUCAUCGCCUCGAAUGAAGUGGAGAACGAUUACGGGGUGAUUUUUGAAUGCGGUGAGAAGUGGAAGAACUUGAUGAACCAGAAGUAUUUUUAGUCCCCUUUGGUUUUUCCUUGAUUGCAUCUAUUUGUUCUAAUGCGUCCACAACUUCUCUCAUUGAGGGUCGGCUUUGAGGAUCUGGUUCGAGGCAUUGUAAGGUAAGUUGUGCUGCUUGUAACAUUGCCUUGGAGGAGUUUUGGCCUUCUAUUCUUACAUCCAUCGUGGCUUUUAACUUUUUCUUAUAUGGGAGAAUUGGCUUCAACCAAUCAACCAAAUUUUGCUGCCCAUUUGGACGCCUCCUAUCGAGUGCCCUUAAGCCUGUCAGCAACUCAAGCAGCACCACUCCGAAGCCAUACACGUCACUCUUAACAUAUAAAUGGCCUGAUUAUUAUUGCAAAAAAAGUAUGUCAGAUAAUUAAACUAUAACAACCUAUUAGAACAGAACUCCAAAUGCUUAAUUUUUUCUGUCUUGUCCGUCAAACUCCAUAAUCAAGCAUAUACUCAAUUCUUGAUUUUACCAAUUAUACAUAUAUAUGUGUGAGUGUAUGUGUGUGUGUCUGUGUAGGGAAACACAAUUUCGCACUUUUAUUUUAUUACCUGUUGCAAUGUAUUCAGGAGCUGCAUAACCAUAAGAACCCAUAACCCUGGUUGUCACAUGUGAGUCUCCACCUGAAGGCCCCAAUUUUGCCAAGCCAAAAUCUGAUAUUUUUGCAUUGUAAUUCUUUGAAAAGACAACAAAAGAAGAAGAAACAACAAUGUCAGUAAAACAUUUGAAUGCUUUCACCUAAAAUGGAAGCUUUCAAACUCUCUGUCCCUUUCUCUUGUUUAGAAUUUGAAGCACAUAAAAAGAAGACAGCACUUGCUUUUUGGAAGUUUACUAAAUUUUUAGUGCUAUCAUCAUAAUGUCGAUACAAUCAAAAGUGUAAAAAUCAGUAUUGAAGUAUCGCAUUGAGACCGACCAUUUGGUAGCAUUAACAAGUUAUGAAAGGAAAUUUAGAAUCACAUCAAUCGAUUUCUAUUCUUUCAAGAAACAGAAAGAGAAAUUUAUAAAUUAGGCCUCAGAUUAAAAAAGAAGCAAAAAGAUAUAAUCGUAUAUAAACUAACCCCAUCAAGCAGAAUAUUUGAGGCCUUGAAAUCUCUGUAAAUGACUGGCUUUUCUGAGGUAUGAAGAAAAGCAAGACCUCGAGCUGUUCCAAUGGCUAUCUUGAGCCGUAAGUCCCAUGACAAGGGUUCAAUGUUAGGAUUCCCUGCAAAAACAAACAAUCCAAUGAUCAACGGAAAUUAUCUAAAAUUUAGCAAAUUCUAGUCUUUCUUUCUUCAAAAAUUUCCCCUCAAUCACUCAUUUUUAUCAAUUCUUACUUCUGAAAAGAUGAUUCUCCAAGCUUCCCUUCUGCAUGAAUUCAUACACAAGGAGUAGCUCUUUAUCCUCCCAACAAUAUCCUAACAAUUUAACCAGGUUAGGAUGUGAUAAUCUUCCUAGAAAGUUCACCUCCGACUGCAUUAUCCAAAAGAGUUCAAAAAAAUGCAGAUUGUUAGCAUCAAUAAGAAGGGCUAUAUUGCAUGGAUUUAAAUUCUCCAAACAUCAAGAACAGCUGCCCCACGAAGCAGAAGCUAAAAGGCUUUGUAUCAAAUCCUCAAUUCUCCUUCCCUAUCCCGUCAAAAUAAUAAUAACAAUAAUAAUAAUAAUACUAAUAAUAAAGACGAAAAAGGAAAAAAAAAAAAAAAAAAAAAAAAAAAAAACCUCAAGCUAGAGCAAUUUAUGCUAUAUCAUAACUUUGAUCAAUUGUGAAUCAACCAAAAGCAUUACAGUUUCCAGCGUUUUUCCUUAAAAGAGUUCUUUCAAAUAUGACCUUAUAAAAAUUGCACAUUCCUUCAAUUGUCACUCCAUUAUUACGGUAUGUUAGGCAAUGAAGGUGAGGAUGACCUUAUGAGCAAGGCAACUUGCAGACAUUACCACAAUUAAUGAAAUUGCAGUAAAUUGAAAACAAAAUGAAGCUGCAGGUGGGACCCAUUAUGGAAAAAUGAUUGAAGCCAACCAUAAACACAAUGCAUAAAACACUUUGCUUCCCCCACCUUUAUUCCCUCUCUUCUUCUUUUAAUUAAUGGUCAAGAGUCAAGACUCAUCAGAAACAAGAAUUUGGAAAAACAGAACAAUCAAUAAAUGGAAAAUAAUUCAUAUUUGGAAGGAAUAUACUAGAAUUGAAAAAUUAGAAUCAAAUACCUGCCACUCGUGAAAACCUUGAUAGCAACCGUUAACCCAGUGCCUGUUUUGGAAGGGGCAUAAGUCUUUUCCGCCAACCCCCCCUUGAAGACUUUACCAAAACCACCUUCACCCAAAACAGAAUCUGAUCUAAAAUUUCUUGUGGCACCCCUCAAAUCAGCAAAGGUGAACUCUUUCAAGUUUGGUGCCUCCAAUAUUUGACCAUUAGAGUUUCCAUCUUCAUUCACUUCACUUACUGCAGCAGAGAAUUGGCUUUUCCCUGCACUGCUACUUGUGGCUGAGAACUCCAUGGUUGUGUUAUUGUUUGAUGACCCUUUCAAACCAAGAGAACAAAAUUCAAUGGAUCAGCUUCAAACCCAAGAAAUAAAAAAGCAAGUGCAAAAAAAAAAAAAAAAAAAAAAAAAAAGAGCAGGAAGAGGUAAAAAACAUACCAGGUGUAGGAGGAUUAGUAGUGCUGGUGAUGAUGGAGCUAGGAUUAACAUCAUGAGAAGAAGAUCCAAAACAAUUGCCCAUGUUGACUUUCAAGAUUCUCUCCUCUUAGAUGCUACCACUAUUACCAAAUAUGCUACUAAGAUCAAGAAAACAAGUUCAUAACAGUAGUAUUUUGUUUUUCAAAACGCUUUGGAAUGCUAAACCAACUAGUCAAGUGGAUCAGGCCCACCUGUUGUCACGAAAAUGCAACCCUAAAAUUGCAGACAAUAAACAGCCUCCAUUUCAGUUUUAUAAAAGAAGAAACAGAGCCUUUCCUCUCUAUCUCUAACUCUGACGCAUAAAUACAAUUACUAUUCGUCGGCGCUGCCGCUGCCGCCGCCGCCUCCUCCAAUUGGUCGGAAACUGAUGUCAUGUCCUCUAGUAAUAACAGCCGUAGCUCCGCCAUCCUCUUCCACUUCUUCCAGCAAACUAUCACUACCGCGAUUAUUCCUACUAUUUCCACCAUUAUCACAAUUACCACUGUUCACUAAAAAGUCACAAUCUUUAUUCUAGUCGAUUCUUAUCUCUUGAAAAUUUUCUUACUCGUUUUCUGGCAUUCGGGUAGAAGAGAAAAAAGAAAAAGAUGGCUGCUUUGAGUGGCUAUGGUGUGUUCUUGAAAGAGUCUGCUCUCCAGCUACCGCGUUCUGUUUCCACCAAUUACUACAAGAGGUCAAAUCUGAUAAUAUUAUAUAUUUUUGUUGUGGCUUAUGUAUGCUUAUUUUGGGGUUUAGGCGAUAAGCUUUUUGCUAGUAACUUUUAUUUCCUGUUCUUAGCUGAUGGUGGUUGCUUUGUUUUCUUUUUUCUCUUUAAUAGGAGGAAUGCGAAAUGGAGUCCCCCUCAAGCUGCUAUAAUUCCCAAUUUCCAUCUUCCAAUGCGUAGUUUUGAAGUUAAAAAUAGGUAAGCUAUCAAUGGUGCACUCUCGUUUGGAGAAAAAGAUUUUCUUUUGGUUCAGUGUUAGAGAUCGGAUUCUUGGAUUCCAUUUUUUAAGGCUAAAAAAAAUACUUUCUGUUUGUGUUUGGCCUGAUAUCUAUGCAGGACAUUGUUUAAUAUUUGUUAGUGAUAGUUCAUCUGAUUUUUUUUCUGGGUUCUUAGCAAAGAGUUUGCUUCAUUUCUAGAUGAAGACGCAAAAAACUUGGGAAAAACUGGGAAAGUUUAUUUCAUAUGGACCAAUAAAACCAGACAUAUUUAAUAUGGUAAAAACAGUGGUAAUCUGACAAAAAAUGGAACUGUCAUUGGAGCAAAUCAAUUCCCGGUGUUUAUUUUCCUGGAGAUUUCUUAUGGUUGUUGAAAUUAGAACUUGAAUAUAUUUUCAUAGAGGAAUUAGAAUGUAGCAUUUAUAGCGUUCUGAAUGGCCAAGUGAGAGUACAGAUGAUCAAAUGCUUAGAUUUUGGUGCUAGGGAUAGGCUAAUUAAAAUCUCUCUAUUUUUAAAUGUGGUUUGAUUGAUAGUCACCUCAGUAGUAUAUAAACCACGGUUUGCAGGAGGAGCCAUGGCCUGAAUUGAAAACAUUAUGAAUGAAUGCACUUAUUUCUGGAGCUGAUAAAGUGAAUGAUCUACAGGAAGAUUCUGUACCAAAUGUUGAACGGAUAAGGAUGGGUGGUACCGUUCUAGUCAAGUGCAAAACAUGUUAAUUUUGCAUCCUUUGCAUUGGCUUUUAUAUCACAUCAUGCUUGUUUACGGCAGAUGUGGCUGUUUGUCUGGUUUUCAUUGCAUUUUUGUUUGUUGAACUGAGUUUUGAGAACUAUCUCGCCAACAACAUGCAUGCUUGGUUGAAGAAUUGAUGCCACAAAAUUAUAUGCUCUUUCAAUGCUUGCAGGACAUCAUCAGAGGAAAUAAAGUCCCUUAGAUUGAUAACAGCCAUCAAAACCCCAUAUUUACCUGAUGGUAGAUUUGACCUUGAAGCAUAUGACGCUUUGGUGAAUAUGCAAAUUGUUGACGGUGCUGAAGGCGUGAUUGUUGGUGGCACAACUGGUGAAGGUCAGUUGAUGAGCUGGGAUGAACACAUAAUGCUUAUUGGUCACACUGUUAACUGUU
rnacentral:lncRNA from 1 species